rnacentral:rRNA from 1 species
AUAGUUUGGGAUAACUCCGGGAAACCGGGGCUAAUACCGAAUAAUCUCUUUUGCUUCAUGGUGAAAGACUGAAAGACGGUUUCGGCUGUCGCUAUAGGAUGGGCCCGCGGCGCAUUAGCUAGUUGGUGAGGUAACGGCUCACCAAGGCGACGAUGCGUAGCCGACCUGAGAGGGUGAUCGGCCACACUGGGACUGAGACACGGCCCAGACUCCUACGGGAGGCAGCAGUAGGGAAUCUUCCACAAUGGGCGAAAGCCUGAUGGAGCAACGCCGCGUGAGUGAAGAAGGUUUUCGGAUCGUAAAACUCUGUUGUAAGGGAAGAACAAGUACAGUAGUAACUGGCUGUACCUUGACGGUACCUUAUUAGAAAGCCACGGCUAACUACGUGCCAGCAGCCGCGGUAAUACGUAGGUGGCAAGCGUUGUCCGGAAUUAUUGGGCGUAAAGCGCGCGCAGGCGGUCCUUUAAGUCUGAUGUGAAAGCCCACGGCUCAACCGUGGAGGGUCAUUGGAAACUGGGGGACUUGAGUGCAGAAGAGGAAAGUGGAAUUCCAAGUGUAGCGGUGAAAUGCGUAGAGAUUUGGAGGAACACCAGUGGCGAAGGCGACUUUCUGGUCUGUAACUGACGCUGAGGCG